rnacentral:rRNA from 1 species
UACGUAGGGUGCGAGCGUUGUCCGGAAUUAUUGGGCGUAAAGGGCUCGUAGGCGGUUUGUCGCGUCGGGAGUGAAAACCCAGGGCUCAACCCUGGGCCUGCUUCCGAUACGGGCAGACUAGAGGUAUGCAGGGGAGAACGGAAUUCCUGGUGUAGCGGUGAAAUGCGCAGAUAUCGGAGGAAGACACCGGUGCGAAGGCGGUCUCU